GGGUUGUGAGGUUAAGCGACUAAGCGUACACGGUGGAUGCCCUGGCAGUCAGAGGCGAUGAAGGGCGUGCUAAUCUGCGAUAAGCGCCGGUAAGGUGAUAUGAACCGUUAUAACCGGCGAUACCCGAAUGGGGAAACCCAGUGUGACUCGUCACACUAUCAUUAACUGAAUCCAUAGGUUAAUGAGGCGAACCGGGGGAACUGAAACAUCUAAGUACCCCGAGGAAAAGAAAUCAACCGAGAUUCCCCCAGUAGCGGCGAGCGAACGGGGAGGAGCCCAGAGCCUGAAUCAGCAUGUGUGUUAGUGGAAGCGUCUGGAAAGGCGCGCGAUACAGGGUGACAGCCCCGUACACAAAAGCGCAUGUGCUGUGAGCUCGAUGAGUAGGGCGGGACACGUGGUAUCCUGUCUGAAUAUGGGGGGACCAUCCUCCAAGGCUAAAUACUCCUGACUGACCGAUAGUGAACCAGUACCGUGAGGGAAAGGCGAAAAGAACCCCGGCGAGGGGAGUGAAAAAGAACCUGAAACCGUGUACGUACAAGCAGUGGGAGCACAGGUUUACCUGUGUGACUGCGUACCUUUUGUAUAAUGGGUCAGCGACUUAUAUUCUGUAGCAAGGUUAACCGAAUAGGGGAGCCGGAGGGAAACCGAGUCUUAAUUGGGCGUUAAGUUGCAGGGUAUAGACCCGAAACCCGGUGAUCUAGCCAUGGGCAGGUUGAAGGUUGGGUAACACUAACUGGAGGACCGAACCGACUAAUGUUGAAAAAUUAGCGGAUGACCUGUGGCUGGGGGUGAAAGGCCAAUCAAACCGGGAGAUAGCUGGUUCUCCCCGAAAGCUAUUUAGGUAGCGCCUCGUGAAUUCAUCUCCGGGGGUAGAGCACUGUUUCGGCUAGGGGGCCAUCCCGGCUUACCAACCCGAUGCAAACUGCGAAUACCGGAGAAUGUUAUCACGGGAGACACACGGCGGGUGCUAACGUCCGUCGUGAAGAGGGAAACAACCCAGACCGCCAGCUAAGGUCCCAAAGUCAUGGUUAAGUGGGAAACGAUGUGGGAAGGCCCAGACAGCCAGGAUGUUGGCUUAGAAGCAGCCAUCAUUUAAAGAAAGCGUAAUAGCUCACUGGUCGAGUCGGCCUGCGCGGAAGAUGUAACGGGGCUAAACCAUGCACCGAAGCUGCGGCAGCGACACUGUGUGUUGUUGGGUAGGGGAGCGUUCUGUAAGCCUGUGAAGGUGUGUCGUGAGGCAUGCUGGAGGUAUCAGAAGUGCGAAUGCUGACAUAAGUAACGAUAAAGCGGGUGAAAAGCCCGCUCGCCGGAAGACCAAGGGUUCCUGUCCAACGUUAAUCGGGGCAGGGUGAGUCGACCCCUAAGGCGAGGCCGAAAGGCGUAGUCGAUGGGAAACGGGUUAAUAUUCCCGUACUUGGUGUUACUGCGAAGGGGGGACGGAGAAGGCUAUGUUGGCCGGGCGACGGUUGUCCCGGUUUAAGCGUGUAGGUGUGUGUUCCAGGUAAAUCCGGUUCACUUUAACACUGAGGCGUGACGACGAGGCACUACGGUGCUGAAGCAACAAAUGCCCUGCUUCCAGGAAAAGCCUCUAAGCAUCAGGUAACAUCAAAUCGUACCCCAAACCGACACAGGUGGUCAGGUAGAGAAUACCAAGGCGCUUGAGAGAACUCGGGUGAAGGAACUAGGCAAAAUGGUGCCGUAACUUCGGGAGAAGGCACGCUGACACGUAGGUGAAGUGAUUUACUCAUGGAGCUGAAGUCAGUCGAAGAUACCAGCUGGCUGCAACUGUUUAUUAAAAACACAGCACUGUGCAAACACGAAAGUGGACGUAUACGGUGUGACGCCUGCCCGGUGCCGGAAGGUUAAUUGAUGGGGUCAGCGCAAGCGAAGCUCCUGAUCGAAGCCCCGGUAAACGGCGGCCGUAACUAUAACGGUCCUAAGGUAGCGAAAUUCCUUGUCGGGUAAGUUCCGACCUGCACGAAUGGCGUAAUGAUGGCCAGGCUGUCUCCACCCGAGACUCAGUGAAAUUGAACUCGCUGUGAAGAUGCAGUGUACCCGCGGCAAGACGGAAAGACCCCGUGAACCUUUACUAUAGCUUGACACUGAACAUUGAGCCUUGAUGUGUAGGAUAGGUGGGAGGCUUUGAAGUGUGGACGCCAGUCUGCAUGGAGCCGACCUUGAAAUACCACCCUUUAAUGUUUGAUGUUCUAACGUGGACCCGUUACCCGGGUUGCGGACAGUGUCUGGUGGGUAGUUUGACUGGGGCGGUCUCCUCCUAAAGAGUAACGGAGGAGCACGAAGGUUGGCUAAUCCUGGUCGGACAUCAGGAGGUUAGUGCAAUGGCAUAAGCCAGCUUGACUGCGAGCGUGACGGCGCGAGCAGGUGCGAAAGCAGGUCAUAGUGAUCCGGUGGUUCUGAAUGGAAGGGCCAUCGCUCAACGGAUAAAAGGUACUCCGGGGAUAACAGGCUGAUACCGCCCAAGAGUUCAUAUCGACGGCGGUGUUUGGCACCUCGAUGUCGGCUCAUCACAUCCUGGGGCUGAAGUAGGUCCCAAGGGUAUGGCUGUUCGCCAUUUAAAGUGGUACGCGAGCUGGGUUUAGAACGUCGUGAGACAGUUCGGUCCCUAUCUGCCGUGGGCGCUGGAGAACUGAGGGGGGCUGCUCCUAGUACGAGAGGACCGGAGUGGACGCAUCACUGGUGUUCGGGUUGUCAUGCCAAUGGCACUGCCCGGUAGCUAAAUGCGGAAGAGAUAAGUGCUGAAAGCAUCUAAGCACGAAACUUGCCCCGAGAUGAGUUCUCCCUGAGACUUAAAGUCUCCUGAAGGAACGUUGAAGACGACGACGUUGAUAGGCCGGGUGUGUAAGCGCAGCGAUGCGUUGAGCUAACCGGUACUAAUGAACCGUGAGGCUUAACCUUACAACGCCGAAG
rnacentral:rRNA from 4 species